rnacentral:rRNA from 1 species
UGCAAGUCGAGCGAAUGGAUUAAGAGCUUGCUCUUAUGAAGUUAGCGGCGGACGGGUGAGUAACACGUGGGUAACCUGCCCAUAAGACUGGGAUAACUCCGGGAAACCGGGGCUAAUACCGGAUAACAUUUUGAACCGCAUGGUUCGAAAUUGAAAGGCGGCUUCGGCUGUCACUUAUGGAUGGACCCGCGUCGCAUUAGCUAGUUGGUGAGGUAACGGCUCACCAAGGCAACGAUGCGUAGCCGACCUGAGAGGGUGAUCGGCCACACUGGGACUGAGACACGGCCCAGACUCCUACGGGAGGCAGCAGUAGGGAAUCUUCCGCAAUGGACGAAAGUCUGACGGAGCAACGCCGCGUGAGUGAUGAAGGCUUUCGGGUCGUAAAACUCUGUUGUUAGGGAAGAACAAGUGCUAGUUGAAUAAGCUGGCACCUUGACGGUACCUAACCAGAAAGCCACGGCUAACUACGUGCCAGCAGCCGCGGUAAUACGUAGGUGGCAAGCGUUAUCCGGAAUUAUUGGGCGUAAAGCGCGCGCAGGUGGUUUCUUAAGUCUGAUGUGAAAGCCCACGGCUCAACCGUGGAGGGUCAUUGGAAACUGGGAGACUUGAGUGCAGAAGAGGAAAGUGGAAUUCCAUGUGUAGCGGUGAAAUGCGUAGAG